ACGGGGAGGGUGCUGCUGGAGCGCAUCACCGGGCUGGAGUCACGGCUGCCUGCACGGGCACAGCCACACUGCUCAGGCACUGCCAGCCCUGCAGGCCCAGACACUCCCCUGCACACACACAGCCAGCCACCCUUAGGAAACAGGGACCGGAACCUGCUGCCACCAAAAGUGCUGCCCGUUUUGAUCCCUGAGCGUUUUCCCGUACAUAAAAGCUUUGUUGAUGUCUGACUUCUUACUGGAUAAACUGCAAGGGAUUUUCCCUAGGAGCUGAGUUGCAUGACAAUAUAAAAAGAGCUGAAACUCCAUUUUACAGCAUUUGUGUUAUACUUCUAGCUCUUUCUUGUUGCCACCUGUCACCUUUUCAAGUAAAGAAUGGUAGUUUUUUCUGUUAGGAGGAGAAAUACUUGGCUUGGUCAUACUUCAUACUAAUUUAAUGUGGAAAGUUGCAAAAUAUAUGUAUUUUUUCCCUUCCCUCCCUGCCACCUCCCUGUGACAGAAAAUAUUAAUACCUACAGCUUCUACCAUCAUCUGUUAAAUAUCUUGGAAACUGCUGGUAGGAAUACACAGCAUCACUUCUUCAGUUUCCUUUAUAGAAGUUAAUUCAAGGAAAAUGUUGUCAGUUCACACAGCAAGAGAAGGAUCUUCAGAGCUGUCAGCUAUACUGAAAUCAAUGCUGUGGUGGUGGUCCUAUCUCUGCAGACAGACAGUGCUACAAAAGAAAUGCUGCAGCUCUGUGGUUGUGAUAAGAGUAACUGUGAACCUGGGCUAGCCCAGAUUUCCUCAUUCUGCAAAUUCAGAGUUCAGACCAGCACAGCAAAUUCCCAAGGUUUACCAAAAUAAGAACUAAGCAAAGCAACCUUAGAUCAAGAAGUACCUUUCUGAAGAAGAGUGAAAGAGAGCCCAUCUUGCGAGGCCUGACAGCUGUGGCAGUGAAGUGCUGGGUGUGUCUCUGCUCGCCAGGGGAGAUCUGCUGCACUGUUAACUGGCCUGGCAACUGCAGUGCUGCCCCAGUCAUCUGAGUGUUCAGGGUGCCAGCCAGAGUCUGGGCACUCAGAGGCUGCAUGGGCCCAGACACAGCCUGGGGCUGGGUACCUACAUUUACUUGGACUGGGAAGAAAGUUAUUCCUCCAUUUUCAUUGGCAAUACCUGUAAUUUAACAAAAAGAGCCUGAAGUAAGGGCAAGUUCUGUGGGGGACAUGUGUGUGUGUUUGUGGUUUUGAGUUUUUUAAAACAAUUCAGUUCUUAUUAGCUGCUUAUAACUAUACACUUAGCAUAUUAUACAUGAGAUUGUUUAAUCAAAAUACUUUGGAAACUUCAUCCUAAGACAAGAAGAUAAUGAAGCUGAACUAAGGUUUUCAUACUAAUGCAGCUUUCAUCCCCUCUCAGUUCCAGGAGGGCUUACUGAAACAACUGUUUUAUAAAACAGACCCUGGCAGUCAGAAGAACAUCCUCAUGCUCUACAUGCUCCGUCCUUAAACUCUGCUUGUCUAUUCAAACCAUUUUUCCUACUUAUGAAUCCUUAUGAACAUACUUUUUUCUGGCCAACUGUUCCCCCCUCUCUUCUUGGCUGUAUUCUAAUACUCUGAUGGGAACAAGCCUGAAUAGUUGUGCAGCAGCUUUUCCCUCACCUUGCACUGGUAUUGUCACCGUCUGCCCGUUGUUGGCUGUCACGGUGGCCGUUGCCACGGUCACCAGGGUCUGGCCAGGCACAGGAGUCACGGACACGGCCUCGGGGCUCACGUUCUGCACUGGCACCGUGCUCACCACGGGCUGCGGGGGCACCCUCACCGCGGUGCCACCCUCGGGGGCACUGUCAUUGUCAGCGAACAGGCGCCGCCGCGUGGGGUUGGCUGUGGGAGAGCUGUACCUGUCGUACAGGGUGGCUGGAGGGGAGGAAAGGCCUGGGGAAGAAAAACACACACACACAUAUAAAUAUAGAUUUAACUCUUGUUUUAUAAUCCCUUCUUCUAAAACUAGGUGAUGGAAAUCUAAUGCAAACCAAAAUCUGUCAUGCAAAGCUCUUCAGGAAAGAAUUUCUGGAAGUACAUACUGCUUUUAGAGAUGACUUAAUCUUAGAUAAUGCUGUGUUUAAUAUUUUUCUAAGUUCAUGUAUUAUAUUUUAUUUCUUCUAGCAAAAAAAGUUUGAGAUGUCACAUAACUCAAUAUAUAGUGGAGUUUCUCUCCUGGCAUAAUAAUAAAGCAAACCAAUUAGAGCAUAAGUUGUGUGUGUGCCUGUAUAAAUACUGUUUAACACAUACAUACACACAUGCUGUUCGUAUCUAUCACCUGAGAACACCCUAUCAAAGCAGUAUUUAGUUCAGUGAUACAAUGAAUCCAUCAGUCUUACACCUCUGAUGCAACUCUGUGAGUUGCAAUACAAAUACCAUUCACAAAUGUGUUUGCAGCUAACUGUACAUUGGCAUUAAAGCAGCGUCCUUCCUUACAAAAUUUAAUCUAGCUAAGCAAUGCAUAGCAUGUUCUGCUUUUAAAAAAUCUCACCUUUUCCCAGUCCUCCACUUUCAGCACGAACCUCGUUUAUUCGCCGUGGUGUCAAUGGUGAACCUACAACACUGUUCCCAGCAGAUUUCUCGAAGUACUGAGGUGGCAUUACCUAAAAUAUUUAUCCUUUUAUUAGAGUGUCUCUAUCACACAAUAACUACAUAGCAAAUUUUUAAAAGCUACAGCACUACAGAUUUUGAACAGCAAAACUCUGUGGAAAAAGAACAAGAAAAGUGACCAACUUACCCUAAGCCAAACUAGCCCAAGAAAACCAGUAGUGCAUAGUGAUUGUGCUGCUCUGGAAGAUACACACUGUAAUAGUCUUUCUGUGACUACUGCUGUGUGUACUUUUUACCACAUUCUUGCUUAAUAAUCUUUUCAAGUGAGACUUUCCUGCUUGACCAUUUUUGUUCAUUGUUCUGCUAACCAAUAAAAUACUAGAUAAAAUACUGGGUGAGAAUUUUCUCUGCUGCCUGUCUCUGUUGCAGAUGUCUCCACAGAGAUGACUCUAACCAGGCCAGAGCACACUGCACUGCACGUACUGCCUUCCCUGGGAUGGGGAUGGGCUGGGAUGGUGGGAUUGCUACUGGGCCUCGUAAGGCCUCUCCUUCAGGGUACGAAGGCCUCUGUCUGAUUAUGAAAGCAGUGUAACACACUGAAAGAUGUGCUCACCUCUUCACAAGUAGGAACUUUGUUUUCAUUCUCUCUGAUCCUGUCCCACAGUACAGAUUCCCGUUUCCAUGCCAUACUUUCCAGGAUCUGCUCUUCAAUGUGGUUCAGGUGUUUUACCACUUCCCGACAAAGGCCAUCCUCUGCUCUAAUGAAAACCUCAAUUACCUGUGCAGUGGAUAAUUAUGAUCAACAUAACGUACUUGUUUCAUACAUUGAUUCUUAAACAAAGAUCUAAGUCCAAUACUUGAUUUUCAUGGAAGAAGAGACUAUUAGAAAUAUGAAGGCUGCAUUACUAUGACUCAAUCCUAUACUGUCAUACAGGUCAAUGAGCAGUCAUGACCUGAUCAGCAUUUCUAGCUAUCCAACACAUUACCUUGUAAAAAUGAUAAACUGGAAUGUCAAAUAUUUCGGUGAUGAACGGGAAGUUUCCAGGUGGGUUGUAUGUAAAGGUAAUGAUCUCCAGGCAACAUGCCAGCAGAGACCUGUGAAACACAUCUUGCUCCAGUAUUGCCUGCAAGAGUUGCAAAUUUUAAAGCUUAUUUUACAGUGUAACUAUAGAACAAUAAACAACUUUUUUUAUUGUCUCAACAGCAAGAUUCUCAAGCUUACAAAAAGUGAAGCUAUUUUGUAAGGGACAGAACAGAAUUCAAAAUGAGCCCUCCUUUACUCAUUAAAAAUUUCAUCUAUCUUUGUGUUUGCAAACACAAAUAAUUUCUUGAACCUUUUUUCUUCCAUUCAGGUGUACUUACAGGGUUCUUCUCAGAGAUUUACCCUCAUUUUAAAUAGCUGACAAUUCUGCUCUACAUCUGUGUUCUUUUUUUGCAGGUCCAACUUUAAAAGUGGGGAACCCUUUGAUUAGUUUUCCUUACAGAUAAGUCAGCGUCUCCCAGUCUCUUCCUUUCUUGCUCAAUGACUGACUCCAAGACCUUGUAGUAGAGCAUCUCAGCACGACGAAAAUGUUUACUAGCAACAUCUGCAGGAAGUUUAAAUAAAAGCAAUAUUGUAAAAUGCAACAUAAAAGCAUUAUCUUCUUCAUCUUCAGGUACAGAGAUGCAACAGUAGCUUGAUUUCUGUGCUUCUGUGGCUACAAUACUUUCAGGACUAAACCAGUUAAAGUAGGGAUCCUUCUCCUACAUUGCACUGACUUGUGAAUGCAGAGCAGAAUAACUUGCUACUGAACCCAGAUUUCGGUGACAUCACCAUGUAUAAGAACAAUCCUUAACGUUGCUAUAAUGUACACAAUUCCAAUUCAGAAAAUGCAAUGAAAAAUACACCUGUAAGGAUCCACCUCGCACUGUGCAACAAAAAGCACUGAAGCAACUAAGUUGACAAGAACAAAGGAAGGCCUUAUUAAGAAACAAGGUCAAGAGCAUCUUCCUCAUAUUCAAUCCAUCUUCAGGCACUUCAGAUAUCAAGACAACUUUGCAAGUUGUGUUUUUGUGUUUUUACUGGCAGGAUUUUAAUACCUGUACUAAUCCAUCCUCACAUGUAAGCUAAAAUUGCUGUUGGGUUUUUAAAGACUACAGUUACUCAGAUUUUCUCUACCAUCAUAGAAAUCCAUGCCAUCACUAAUAUUCUUAUAUUUGAGAGAAAAAGUGGUACACUUAACAGUGCUUUUCACUUCUCUAGUACUCAAAGCAUGAUCAAAUUCCAGUGAUUCAAACUAAGGCUGAUUAUAAAAUUUUACACAGCAUUGAAAUUUGCUGUCUAAAGAAUACAUGAAAAGUCAAGAGAAGUAGAAAAGCCACUUGUGCUAAAGCAUAACCUGUAUGUAAAACUUAAUUACAAGAGAUGGAUGCGUUUACAGGCAUUUUAAUUCUUAUCUGGAUAAGCAAAAUGUUUCCCACCUUUGGAAAAAUUACUGAAUUCUCCUUCAGACUGUGUGCUCUGACAGUACACUUCGUGCAUUUCUUUUACUCUGUUUGCAAUGGAUUGAGAAGGAUCUCUGGAACACGACCUGAAAUAAAAACUAAACAUUUUCAAUAUACUAUUCUUACAAAGACCAAAAGCCCCCUAUUUUUUAUAUGUUGAAAGCACAAAAAAAAGGAAAUAUAUUGCACAGCAAUACAAACAGAUCCAAAUGUGUCUAACUGCAAAACAUCAUAUUACUGUAUACAUUGCAGUAAAUAUGUUCAACUUUUCAUGAUCAAGGAGAGAUAUUUAAACAGCACUUUCCACAUGACAUAAAAAUUGUUUAAAAAUACAUUAUUCCUGAAGCAACAGUUUAUCCACAUGGCAAAUAAGGUGCAGUUUGCCUCUCCUACAGUAUGGAGUGAUUUCCUAUGUAGUGCCAUUUGCUAAGCAGGAAGAAAAGUCUUGACAAUUUAUACUGGCAACUUGUGGUUAGAGAAGCUCAAAACUGUUGGGUUUUAAAUGGUGGAUGUUUAUCAGUCUCUAAGGACAGAUGUGUCUAAAUAAAGAGAUUAUUCCUUUGAAAUGUAAA